GGAGUUGGCCGAGCAGUCGCUGCCAUGUUCACUUGUGUUUCAUGGGAGAGGAAAGUCCGGACUUCAUAGGGUAAGGUGCCAGGUAACGCCUGGAAGGCGCGAGCCUAUGGAAAGUGCCACAGAAAAUAUACCGCCCAAUUUAUUGGGUAAGGGUGAAAUGGUGCGGUAAGAGCGCACCGCGCUGGUGGCAACAUCAGUGGCAGGGUAAACCCCACCUGAAGCAAGACCAAAUAGGGUUCCAAAGUCGUGACCCGCGAUGGAACCGGGUAGGUUGCUCGAGAAACUUGGUGACAAGUUUCCUAGAUGAAUGACUGUUCUCGACAAAAUCCGGCUUAUGGCCAACUCCAAUU
rnacentral:RNase_P_RNA from 1 species